rnacentral:antisense_RNA from 1 species
AUUCCGCAGAGUCCCAGCACAGAGCAGAGUAGAACAGAGUAGGAUUGGAGCUGAGAGAUAGUAAGUAAAUAGGCAGCAGAAAUAUGUCAAGCAACAAUACCCCAUCUAGAAUAAAAGCACAAUGAAUGCAGGAAUUUUGCCAACUUCUGGCGCAGAGAUGGCUUUCAAAAUCUAUUUGGUGAAUGAAUGAAUGAAUUGCAUUUUCUUCCUAAAUUUCACAAUUGAGUGGUCCUAAUCUGCAUAUCCAAGAGCAAUGUAUGUGAGCCUACGUUUCCACAGGCUCACCCACAGAAUGUGUGCUCAAACUUUUGGAUUUUUGCCCAUCUACUAGGUUAGCAUUUUACCUAUGUAUGGCAUUUUCUAUUUUCAGUGACGGACUAUGAGCCGUGAUAAACACAUUACUCCCUUCUUUAACAAAAAAGAGCAUGGUUAACUCCAAAGACUUCUCUAGACCAGCCUGGAUGGUACUUAAACUUUAAUCAACCAAUGCUCAAGUAAAAGAGCAGUAUCCAGCCCCAGCACACCUAACUGUUUUGCAUAACAUAGUGCUCCUGACUGGAGAGCCCAGGCUGAGAUGGUGUUAAAUGCUUUUACCACGUGGGCUCCUGGCACCAACUGAGCAAGAUCCCACCCCACAGGCCUUGGAAGCCUGAGGCAGUAUUCUUCUGGGAUAUUUCCAACUAGGCUUCCCAUGAGCAUGUUAGAGCCAGCCUAGCUGGUGAAUUUUACUUCUGUCACCUCUCAGAGGGAAGAGGUCUGAGAGGCUCAGG